GAAUGGUUGGACGAAAUAUUAACUGUUUCAUUUGAAAUUUUUAUAGAAUUUUAUUUUUUAGUUAAAAAGCUAAAAUUUGGUCAAAAGACGAGAAGACCCUAUAAAUCUUUAUUAUUUAUUUAUUUUUAAUUUUUAUUUGAAUAUUUUGAUUAUUAAUAAUUUAAUAAUUUUAUUGGGGUGAUAUUAAAAUUUAAUGAACUUUUAUUUUUUAUUAUCAUUUAUUUAUGAUUAAUUGAUCCUUUAUUAUAGAUUAAAAAUUUAAGUUACUUUAGGGAUAACAGCGUAAUUUUUUUGGAGAGUUCUUAUCGAUAAAAAAGUUUGCGACCUCGAUGUUGGAUUAAGAUUAAUAUUUAAAUGCAGAAGUUUAAAUAUAAAGUCUGUUCGACUUUUUAUUCUUACAUGAUCUGAGUUCAGACCGGCGUAAGCCAGGUUGGUUUCUAUCUUUGAUUAUUUAUAAUAUUUUAGUACGAAAGGAAUUAAUAUUAAUUUUUAAGAAAUUUUUUUAUGAAUAAAUUUAAUAGCUAU
rnacentral:rRNA from 1 species